rnacentral:tRNA from 1 species
AUUUAUAUAGUAUAAUUAGUACAAUUAAUUUCCAAUUAAUAAGUUUAAAUUUUAAUAUAAAUA